UUUUCUCUAAAAUAAUAUUUUCUUUAUCUUUUUGCCAAAAUUUCUUUCCAACCUCUCUCCAUUCCCACAAUUUUCUUUCCUUUCUUCUUCCUUUCUCCACAAAAUUUCCAAAUCCUAUUCUCUUAACUGCGUAUCCUAGUGCCCACCGCCGCACGUUGGCAACUCCAACUCCCUCCACCGCUGUAAGUUCAUGACUCCGCCCCAGUCGAUGUGACUCGAUCGUAAGUUCUCUUCCUUACACGAGUUUACCUUUCUUUUCUUCUUCCCCACGAUCUGUUCACUAUCAAUCGUGCUCUAGUUUCCACCGUCGACUGACGGCUACGAACCAUGUCGAACCACAAACCACGCUAACGACUAGCAACUACGAACCACGCCUACCGCCCUAAUAUUUGAGCUCAAUUAUUUGAUUAAACCGUUCCACGUUUGCUUUUCAAGGACAAUCAAUCAUGGCUGGCCCUCCCUAAUUCUUUUGUACUAAUUUAUUUAUUGCCUCUCACCUACCCCCAUGACGACUUACCUAUCUCCUCUUCACCAUCCUUCUCAUUCCUUUCUUUCAAUUUCUCUCUAUUGGGAUCUCAGUCACAUUCUCAACGCUGCCCAAUUGCUAGAUUUCUGACGCACACCAAAGAAAAAUAGAGUUUAGGGGUAAAUUCUAAACUAAAUCUAUCACACCCAUGUUUUAUUUCCUAUUCUUUGAUGAGUUUUAGUUUCCUUCUUUGGCUUAUAUGCUCGAAAAAUGGGGUUUAAUGAAAUGAAACUUUUAGUACAUGCUUUUGGAGUUUGUCCUAAACCAACUGAGAGAUGGAAGCUGUGUAAUAAAAAAAUGCAAGGGAGAGAAGAUCACCAGCUUGAGUAUAAGAGGAAAAGUUGCUUUUCAUGGACAAAGGUCGUCGAAAAGAAUUCAACAGUAGUUUCCACAGAUGAUAGCAUAUGGGAUGGAUUCCAGUGUAUGAUUUUAACUUUUCCUUGCAUGAGCAUUUUCAAAUAUUUUAGAAGUUUUUAGAUUUAUGUUCAAUGUUAUAGCGGCUGAAGAAGCAUCGUCAGCAGAGAAAUUUGGAACAGCAAAACUAGCUGAAGCCACUACCCAAUCCACUUCUGUAAUGCAAAGAUAAAGCUUUCAGUUUCAUCUUCUUUAGUUCCUGAAAAACCUACAAGAUAUGUUGAAUGAAUCUUUUUGGAAAGGGCUUUUGGUGUUUAUUCCACACAAUUGGGUUUACACAAUUUGGUUCUUAUAUUUAUUUAUUCUACUCCAUUUUGGGUAUUUUCUUAUGUGUAUAUAUAUAUACAUAUUGGACGCAUUACAGGUGCGAUACAAAAGAGAAGCUAAGUAGGAGUUUCUUCCAUGUUGAAGCAUUGCUUAGCAUUUCUUGUGCGGUUUAAUCGAAUUAAUUUUCUGUGAUCGAAUUCAUGAAAACACUUAUUAAGGGCAUGUUAUGAAAGAAUCCAGAGCAUAGAUCAAACGUUAGCUUUUCCACAUAUUUACAUUUUACAGACUUUGAGAUUUUUCAUGUUAGGCAUAAAGCUAGGUAAAACAAUUUCUUCACAUGGUAGAAGUUUGGGCUAUUGUAAUUAAGUAUGUAAUGACCAACUAUAUGUAUGGUUCAAUGAUAUAUGCAAUUUGUUAAAUUAUUAGUUCUUUGACGAAAA